rnacentral:tRNA from 1 species
UAUGGCAGAAUAGUGCAAUGAAUUUAAGAUUCAUAUAUAAGNNGAAAGAUCCUUUUCUAGAAA